rnacentral:rRNA from 1 species
ACUCCUACGGGAGGCAGCAGUGGGGAAUAUUGCACAAUGGGCGCAAGCCUGAUGCAGCGACGCCGCGUGAGGGAUGACGGCCUUCGGGUUGUAAACCUCUUUCAGCAGGGACGAAGCGAAAGUGACGGUACCUGCAGAAGAAGCACCGGCCAANCUACGUGCCAGCAGCCGCGGUAAU